CGGGGGAGGCCGGAUCCUGGGCUGUGUUCUGGGGCCUGCGCUGUUGGAUUCGCGCUCCCGGGCCGCGCAACCCCCU
rnacentral:pre_miRNA from 1 species